rnacentral:lncRNA from 1 species
UACCCUCGCGCACGAUGUCGUACGGGAUGGGCGUCAAGAUCUCCGUCUUGACGUUCUCCAGGGUGAACCCCGCGCGCGGGCCCGGGAUGGUGCGCUUCGUCUCGGGGGCCUUCUCGCCCUUCGCGUGCGCCGCCGCGUGCGCCGCGUCGUUCGCCGCGCGACGCUCGAGGAACUCCUCGCGGCACCUGGAGUGCACGACGUGCUCGACGCGCACGUGGAUGCGCUUCCUAGCGACCCG